GCACCAGUGGGGAAUAUUGGGCAAUGGAGGAAACUCUGACCCAGCGACGCCGCGUGAGGGAUGAAGGCCUUCGGGUUGUAAACCUCUUUCAGUAGGGAAGAAGCGAAAGUGACGGUACCUACAGAAGAAGCACCGGCUAACUAUGUGCCAGCAGCCGCGGUAAUACAUAGGGUGCAAGCGUUGUCCGGAAUUAUUGGGCGUAAAGAGCUCGUAGGUGGUUCGAUACGUCGGAUGUGAAAAUCAGGGGCUCAACCCCUGACCUGCAUCCGAUACGGUCGAGCUGGAGUUUGGUAGGGGAGACUGGAAUUCCUGGUGUAGCGGUGGAAUGCGCAGAUAUCAGGAGGAACACCGAUGGCGAAGGCAGGUCUCUGGGCCAAUACUGACACUGAGGAGCGAAAGCGUGGGGAGCGANCAGGAUUAGAUACCCCCGUAGUCCGG
rnacentral:rRNA from 1 species